UGAACACGUAGACGGGUGACUUUCAGUUGGUGAGAAAAAUGACACGCUAUGCCCGACGCUCUCUCGGCCGGCUCGAUCUUUUUUCCCAUCUCGCGUGGGCGCCGUCGCCGUCACCACGGGUUGCCCAUUUCAGUCUUUCAUCGUCGGGCGCCCAUGUUCCUGUCUCCUUCGCGUCUCCGCCCGCCUCUGCGCAGUACUCAUCCAUCGCCUGCUCAAGCCAAUGUUGACCUUGGUACCCGAUAAGGACAGCUGCCAAAGUCGUUCCAGCCGGCACAUGCGCAGGCGCGAUUUCCACAUUAUUAUCCCGCUUCCGCUCUAGCAAAAAGCAAGUUGUAUAAAACUAUACUUGGGCAUCUAUAACCGCGGUCAUCUAAUUUGAGCCACUAUGCGUCCGACCUGUCCGGGCACGCCGGCUGGGGUGACCCGGCAGACCAUAUUUCUCGCAUUUCACAGACACAUACUCAUAUGCCUUAGUUAAAUCCAUACAAGACCAUGCAGGCGACGUUUCUACGUAGAUCAACACGCGAACAUAGCAAUCUGGCAAAGAUGCAUCACGAGACGCAGCUACCUAGUACCAUGGCCUUGUACAGUUUGGUCGUUCCUCCAUGACCGCGUGCUCGAUCGAUCGAGAUGUAGCGGCGCUCGGCAAGAUGUUGACACCCCCUUUUAUCGCUGAGAAGUACGUAGGUCUUGAUAGCUCAUGGCUGGUAUUGCAGAAAAAUCAGUGUGCCUUCCCUGUGUUGUUUCUUCAGUUCAAUAUGCACUUGUGCCUUUUCAGCUCAAUGUCUGGACCAGCAACAUAGGCGCGCGAUGCCUGUUCUGCUUGUUGAGCAUGCACUUUCGUCUUUUCAGUUAAGAAAGUCUGAACCGCUGAAUGCCUAAAUCCCAAUCCCUAAUUCCUUCCGAGCUCCGACUGCUCCCAGCUCCGCUCCGAAGCUGCCGCGUGCACCUUGCCGGCAAGCUCCCCUACUUCCAGCGGCUGGCGCCCGAUGCGGCAUCUCCCUGACUCCCUCCUCGCACCCCCUGCACCUUUUGCUCCGCGUGACAGCGUCUGGCAACCUCUUACACACGCGGCAUCGGUGGAGCUGCUACGCGAGGCACAGAGGCACAAGAGAGAGGACCGGGAGAGCGUGCGUGGACUUCGUUCGGAGAGGUGGUCGCUUGGCGCUGCUCCUGCCCCACAGCUCAAGCAAGAAUUGAACAUGAAGAGGAACGGGACAGUCCCUUCUCCUGAAACAUAUUACAUGAGCCACAUGGCACUUGCGACACUCCCUCAAAGAUUGGUGGAUUGGUAUGUCCGAAGCUCCGCUUCCUAAUAGGAAGCCCAUGACAUCUUUAAUCAUGCUCAUCUCAUGGUCGAUUUGGAACGAGAGAAAUGCACGUGUUUUCAAUGACAAAGGGACACCGCCCACGAUCUUGUUAGACAACAUCAAGAAAGAGACAUCACUUUGGGUGGCCCGCGGGAGCUAAGAAGCCAGGGGUUUGCUCAUGUCGGGAGAGUAAUCCCUUUCUUGUAAUAAGGGGUGUAUAUGUAAGACAGCUAAAACUUUCCUUCUCUCUUAAUUAAUAUACGAGGCAAUUCUUUUGCCUCCAUUUCAAAAAUAAAUAAA